rnacentral:rRNA from 1 species
UACGGAGGGUGCGAGCGUUGAUCGGAAUAACUGGGCGUAAAGGGCACGCAGGCGGGCUUUUAAGUGAGAUGUGAAAUCCCCGGGCUUAACCUGGGAAUGGCAUUUCAGACUGGGAGGCUGGAGUACUGUAGAGGGGGGUAGAAUUCCACGUGUAGCGGUGAAAUGCGUAGAGAUGCGGAGGAACACCGAUGGCGAAGGCAGCCCCUUGGGAAGUUACUGACGCUCAGGUGCGAAAGCGUGGGGAGCAAACAGG